AAUGAACGCUGGCGGCAUGGAUAAGGCAUGCAAGUCGAACGAGAUCUAUCUUCGGAUAGUGAGAGUGGCGAAAGGGUGAGUAACACGUGAGGAAUCUGCCCCUGAUUUUGGGAUAGCCCAUAGAAAUGUGGAUUAAUACCAGAUGAUCUUCAACAGCGCAUGUUGUUGGAUGUAAAGUUUUUCGAUCAGGGAUGAUCUCGCGCUCCAUCAGCUUGUUGGUAAGGUAACGGCUUACCAAGGCUACGACGGAUAGGUGGUCUGAGAGGACGAUCACCCACACUGGGACUGAGACACUGCCCAGACUCCUACGGGAGGCUGCAGUCGAGAAUCUUCCGCAAUGCGCGAAAGCGUGACGGAGCGAUGCCGCGUGCCGGAUGAAGGCCUUCGGGUCGUAAACGGCUGUCACCCGGGAUGAAUACAUGACAGUACCGGGAGAGGAAGCCACGGCUAAC
rnacentral:rRNA from 1 species